UUAAUUAAUGUAAGGAGAGUAUAAACUCUAUAAAUUAUAAAGUUAUAUAUAAACCAUUUGUUACAUUUAAAAGAAAAAACAUGACUAAAAUGGUCAAGUUUAUUUAUGUAAAAAUUAUAUUUCUUUUUCUAUUCCUUGUUACAGGGAAUACCGUGAAUAUUAAAUGUGAAAUGAAUUCCGAUUGUCCACCAUAUAUGUGUGCAUAUCCCUUAAAAGCGAAGUGUGUGGCUCACAAGUGUAAAUGUAAGGACAUGGAUGAUCCAUAGAUUUUGUUCCCACAUAACUAUGUAUUUAGUGUAGGACUCAAGAAAGUACAGAAGCUCCUUGCUACAAUAUUCCAUGAGGUGUCAUUUAGUUCUUGUGUUUUUUUUGACACCUAUGUAUUUAGUUCUUGUGUUGGUACCCAGUAAUAUGAAUAUUUUAUAUUUCUAAUAUGAAGAACCUUUGUAGUUAUUACUAUAUAUACCCUAAGAUUAAUUGUAAUGAAAUAAAAUAAGACAGCAAACUUGUCUUAUCUCUAAUUUUAGAGAUAUCACACAAUGGACCAAGUUUUUUCAA